rnacentral:tmRNA from 1 species
GGGGCUGACUUGGAUUUCGACAGAUUUCUUGUCGCACAGAUAGCAUGCCAAGCGCUACUUGUAAAACAGCAACAAAAAUAACUGUAAACAACGCAGAUUACGCUCCAGCUUACGCUAAAGUUGCGUGAGUUAAUCUCCUUUUGGAGCUGGACUGAUUAGAAUUUCUAGCGUUUUAAUCACUCCAUAACCUUAAGCUAGACGCUUUUGAAAGGUGGUUCGCCUUUUAAACUAAGAAACAAGAACUCUUGAAACUAUCUCAAGGUUUUAGAAAGUUGGACCAGAGCUAGUUUUAAGGCUAAAAAGCUAACCAAUUUUCUAAGCAUUGUAGAAGUUUGUGUUUAGGACAAGAUUUUUGGACUGGGGUUCGAUUCCCCACAGCUCCACCA